GGGAUUAUAGCUAAGUGGUAGAGCACUUGCCUUGCAUGCAUGAGACCCUGGGUUUGAUCCCCAGCACCA
rnacentral:tRNA from 1 species